rnacentral:lncRNA from 1 species
UGGGCGGGGCUUGUGCCACGUAGGCGGGGCCCCUCCCCGCCCUUUCACCAUUUAACUCCUUCCCUCCCGCAGCCCUGCCGCCCGCUCCUCUGGCCGCUCCCCCCGCAGCCGGCACCCCUCGCCCCCCCCAGCCCCCCCCCAACCCCACUUUGGGGGGCAAGGGGGGGCCCCCCCUGGCCGCCUACGCCCUCCCCGGUCCCGGCCCGCAGCGCCUUUUGCUGGCCCCCGACAUGCAGGCCCGCCUGCCUUCCGGCGAGGUGGUGAGCAUCGGGCAGCUGGCGGCGUUGGCCCAGCGGCCGGGGGGGACCCCAGGAGGGGCGACCCCGGGGGGGGGCCAAGCCCCUCACCCUGCAGUUGCAGGGCAGCAAACUCACCCUGGCUGCCCCCCCCGCUGCGGCACCUGGCCCUCGCCCCCCCCCCCGCGGCCUCCCACGGAACGUGGUGCAUCUGGUGGCGGCUGGGGGGCAGCACCCGCUCCUGGGCCCCCCCGCCCAGGUCACCCUGCUGGCACCCGUCGCCCCCCCGGCCCCCACAGGGGGUCCUCCUGCCGGGACCCCCCCCCAGCCCCCCACCAUUGGCCUCCCCAUUGCCACCGCUCAAGGUAAGGGGGGGGGGUUAUCUCUGGGUGCCCCCCCAAACCACCAGGACCCACCUGGGUGUCUCUGAGCCCCCCCCCCCAGAUCUCUGGGUGCCCCCAGGAUCCCUCUGGGUGUCCC